GCCUCUUUAGCUCAGUGGUAGAGCGCUGCACUUGUAACUUUCGUACGGUAUGCAGCGGUCAGUCGUUCAAUCCGGCUAGGAGGCA